rnacentral:lncRNA from 1 species
CUCAGGGUGUCUCUUUCAGGGGGUAGGGACCCCUUCCAUGUGAUAAUGAAGAGCAAUCACCCAGGGACAUGCAUCUCGCAGGGCUGGUCCAGACAACUCUCAGAAAUAAAACCGCAGCAAGAUCAAAGAGGGUCAGACUUCAAGAUGGCAACUACUCCAUGUGUUCAGAGUUGAAGGAGGACUGUGUUCAAACUACGCCAUACUAUGUGCAGAAGGACCCAGAGCAUCAAAUGAUGUACUACAGGUUCCAAGAUUCUAGGAUCUUCUGGAGUUGCAGAUAGGUACCAUACGGCUAAGAAUUAUACAACUUAUUGCAUCCCAAUUCCUAUAGGACACACCUCUAAGUAUUUAAUACUAGUGGAAUAAAAAAAUAAAC